rnacentral:rRNA from 1 species
UAGCAUAUGCUUGUCUUAAAGACUAAGCCAUGCAUGUCUAAGUAUAAAUCUUUAUACGGUGAAACUGCGAAUGGCUCAUUAAAUCAGUUAUAGUUUAUUUGAUAAUACCUACUACUUGGAUAACUGUAGUAAUUCUAGAGCUAAUACAUGCUGAAACACCCGACUUGCGAAGGGUGGCAUUUAUUAGAUAAAAAACCAAUGCGGGGGCAACCCCGGACCAUUGAUGACUCAUAAUAACUGAGCGAAUCGCAUGGCCCAGCGCCGGCGAUGAUUCAUU